rnacentral:tRNA from 1 species
UGUUCCGUAGUUCAGUGGUAGAACACCGCACUGUUAAUGCGUAGGUCGUUGGUUCGAAUCCAACCGAGACAG